rnacentral:lncRNA from 1 species
UUUACAUGCUAGUUUAUUUUGCUUAAUUUUGCCUCAAUGCCAAGUUCUUUUGUUUAAUUUUGUCUCGAUGUUAGUUUUUUUUGCUUAAUUUUGUUUCGAUGUCAAUUUCGUUUGCAUAAUUUUGUCUCAAUGUUAGUUUGUUUGCUUAUUUUUGUCUCCAUGUCAAUUUUUUUUGCUUAAUUUUGUCUUCUUAGUUUCUUUUUCUUAACUUUAUC